rnacentral:rRNA from 1 species
AUUGAACGCUGGCGGCAUGCCUUACACAUGCAAGUCGAACGGCAGCACGGGUGCUUUCACCUUCUGGCGAGUGGCGCACGGGUGAGUAAUACAUCUGAACAUGUCCUGUAUUGGGGUAUAGCCCCUCGAAAGCCCGAUUAAUACCGCAUACUAUCUACUGAUAACACCUGGGUACCUUCUGGCCUCGCGCUUUGGUGUUGCCCGUUGGCUGAUUAGCUAGUUGGUGGGGUAAAGGCCUACCAAGGCGACGAUCAGUAGCUGGUCUGAGAGGACGACCAGCCACACUGGGACUGAGACACGGCCCAGACUCCUACGGGAGGCAGCAGUGGGGAAUUUUGGACAAAGGGCGAAAGCCUGAUCCAGCAAUGCCGCGUGUGUGAAGAAGGCCUUCGGGUUGUAAAGCACUUUUGUCAGGAAAGAAAUACUUGGCCAUAAUACGGUCGGGGGAUGACGGUACCGGAAGAAUAAGCACCGGCUAACUACGUG